AGGAGACGCUGGCGGCGUGCCUCAAACAUGCAAGUCGAGCGGACGGAGACCGAACCGCAAGGGGAGGUUGAAGUUAGCGGCGAACGGGUGAGUAACACGUGGGUAACCUACCCUAAAGUCUGGGACAACGGCCCGAAAGGGCCGCUAAUACCGGAUAAUGUCUUCGGGUCGCAUGGCCUGGGGAAGAAAGCCGAAAGGCGCUUAUGGAUGGGCUCGCGUCCCAUCAGCUAGUUGGUAAGGUAACGGCUUACCAAGGCGACGACGGGUAGCCGGUCUGAGAGGAUGGUCGGCCACACUGGGACUGAGAUACGGCCCAGACUCCUACGGGAGGCAGCAGUUGGGAAUAUUGGGCAAUGGGCGAAAGCCUGACCCAGCGACGCCGCGUGAGGGAAGAAGGCCUUCGGGUCGUAAACCUCUGUCAUCGGGGACGAAGAAAGUGACGGUACCCGAGGAGGAAGCCCCUGCUAACUACGUG
rnacentral:rRNA from 1 species